rnacentral:pre_miRNA from 1 species
CUAUUACUCCCUCCGUUCUGAAUUACUUGUUGCGAAAAUGGAUGUAUCUAGAUGUAUUUUAGUUCUAGAUACAUCCAUUUCCGAGACAAGUAAUUUGGAACGGAGGGAGUAGGCG